GAGUUAUACAAAGCGCCAGAGCUUGCAACAUUGCAGCGCGGAUUCACCCAACGGACCUUCCGCUCCGAAGCGGGAGAGGUCAGAUGAGCGGCUUUAUGAGCCGCGCUCCGACAGAUAGCCAUAGGCGGCCAGAGGGCCAUAGCCGAAGCUUGACGGAGCGAUCGUUUCGCAAGGAACGAUUGAGCCUGACUACCGAAGCGCUGACGCAAGCUGACGAGGUGAAGGUGUUCGAAAUUUCGGCGGGGACCUUCCGGUGAGCAUGUCAUCGACAGCCAUUACUGCAAAAGGACGCGGGCAACCGGUCCCACAAACAGAUGGCAAGCAUGCU
rnacentral:ncRNA from 2 species